rnacentral:lncRNA from 1 species
CUCCUCCUCCUCUUCUUCUUCUUCCUCUUCUUUCUAUUAAGCUAACUAACUAACUAACCUAACUAACCAAGCUAACUAAACCUAUCGCUAAACCUAUAUAGCACUAAACAACAUAAAAAAUAACAAAAACAGAAUCUAUAUCACUAACUAACUAAAAUAUAGCUCCUUCUUUUCCUUUCUCCUCUUCUUUCUCCUCCUCCUCCUCCUCCUC